rnacentral:tRNA from 1 species
GGAGAGGUGGCAGAGUGGUCGAAUGUACCGCACGCGAAAUGCGGCGUGACUUUACGGGUACCGUGGGUUCGAAUCCCACCCUCUCCGCCA